UCAGAGAUGGAAAGGUGCCUUCGGGAACCGUGAGACAGGUGCUGCAUGGCUGUCGUCAGCUCGUGUUGUGAAAUGUUGGGUUAAGUCCCGCAACGAGCGCAACCCUUAUCCUUUGUUGCCAGCGGUCCGGCCGGGAACUCAAAGGAGACUGCCAGUGAUAAACUGGAGGAAGGUGGGGAUGACGUCAAGUCAUCAUGGCCCUUACGACCAGGGCUACACACGUGCUACAAUGGCGCAUACAAAGAGAAGCGACCUCGCGAGAGCAAGCGGACCUCAUAAAGUGCGUCGUAGUCCGGAUUGGAGUCUGCAACUCGACUCCAUGAAGUCGGAAUCGCUAGUAAUC
rnacentral:rRNA from 1 species